rnacentral:rRNA from 1 species
AGUCUGGUGCCAGCAGCCGCGGUAAUUCCAGCUCCACAAGUGUAUUCCUAUAUUGUUGCGGUUAAAAAGCUCGUAGUUGGAUCUGAGUGCUUAGCGGGUGGUACAGUGUUUCACUGUCACUGCUUCGCGGCACAUAACCGUCGACUGGCUGCUGUUGUUGCCUUCACCGGUGACGGCAGUUAGCUAUCGACAUAUUUUACUUUGAACAAAUCAGAGUGCUCAAAACAGGCGUUUCGCUUGUAUGUUUUUGCAUGGAAUAAUAGAAUAGGACCUUGGGUCUAUUUUGUUGGUUUUCGGAAUCAAGGUAAUGAUUAAGAGGGACAGACGGGGGCAUUCGUACUGCAACGGGAGAGGUGAAAUUCUUGGAUCGUUGCAAGACGAACUACUGCGAAAGCAUUUGCCAAGAAUGUUUUCAUUAAUCAAGAACGAAAGUAACGGGUUCGAAGGCUAUCAGAUACCGCCCUAGUCGUUACCGUAAACGAUUGUAACCGGGAGCUAGCAGGCGCUUUACUAUGGCUCUGCUAGAACCCACCCGGAAACGAAGAGUUUUCGAUAUCCGGGGGAAGUAUACUUGCAAUGUGAAACUUAAAGGAAUUGACGGAAGGGCACCACCAGGGGUGGAGCCUGCGGCUUAAUUUGACCCAACACGGGGAAACUCAUCCGGUCCGGACACCGUAAGGAUUGACAGAUUGAGAGCUCUUUCUUGAUUUGGUGGGCAGUGGUGCAUGGCCGUUCUUAGCUGGUGUAGUGAUUUGUCUGGUUUAUUCCGAUAACGAACGAGACUCUAGCCUACUAACUAGUUAUGCGAUCUUCUUGUCGUAUUAACUUCUUAGAGGGACAAGCGGUGCUCAGCCGCAUGAAAAAGAGCAAUAACAGGUCUGUGAUGCCCUUCGAUGUUCGGAGCUGCACGCGCGCUACACUGUAGAAUGCAACGUGCUAGCUUGCCUCGCUCGCAAGAGUGGGGUAAUCGGUUGAAAUUUCUACGUGAUUGAGAUAGGGACUUGUAAUUAUUUCCCUUGAACGAGGAACCCCUAGUAAGUGCAGGUCAUCAGCUUGUGCUGAUUACGUCCCUGCCCUUUGUACACACCGCCCGUCGCUGCCCGGAACUGAGCCAUUUCGAGAAAAAUGGGGACUGAUUGCUUGUGAGCACCCAAGUGCUUCUUGCAGUCGGAAACCAUCUU